AUCAAUCUCUCCCGAUCUCUCUCCCUAAGCAAAAGCCACUGCCGCCGCGGGCAACUCAGCGUCAUCCGCCUUUCCUCCCUCCCAUGCUCAAGCACGCCCUUAAGAUGUUGCUGCUCCUAUCCAGACGAUGAUGCAAUCAAUUCACCAGGACCUGAACACCUACCUCAAAGCCAGCUAGACAAGGAAGCUAGCACACAUGUGUAUGGACUGAUGAACAGUGCCACAUGCACAUGCCACGUAUUUGAACCAGCACUUUGCAACAAUGCUACGAUCGGAUCGAUCGAUCUUGGCGCCGUCGGCGGCCAUGAAAAAAAAAUCGAUGGCCAAAGUUUACGCGAGUUCUCGCCAGGACCUCCAUCGAGAUCGAUUCGAUCCUAUCAAGAUGCUGGUGCAACUCAGGCGCUGGCGCGUACGUGAUCUUGCGGCUAGAGUGCACGUAUUGCUAGCUAGCCACUGUUCAUCAAUCUAGCAGUUUGCAUGGCUGCUUGAUUGAGGCUAGCUUGCACGUAUGUGUCUCGGCUCCUGGAGUAUACGAGCUAGGUUUCAAAACCAACAGCUGACACCCAUCCUGCUUUCAUCUCCCUUUAUUGCUGUUAUUGGCUCCUAUAAUCUUCUCUAGAUUUUCUCAGUGGCCGCUCAGAUUGCACCAUACGUAUUGCAGGGGCUAAGUUCAGUUUAUUGGGACAUAGAGGAUAAAGACAAGAAUGUUAGAGAAGCGAUACUUUUUCUCGUGACUACUGUUAGGAUUGAUGCCCUCUUGGCAGGAAAAGAAAAUAGCAGCUAGCAACAGCUGCAUCAUUGUGUGGCCAUGACAUAGCCAGAUCUGUUGAUGUGAUUGGCACUCACGCAGAAAAAAAGUUCUGUGUCUACUCCUAUGUAUACUCGAGGUCCAUAAGAAAAAUGAAGAAAAAUCUAUCUAAUCAUCGUCUAGCGGCUCCCGCCCAAUUUCGUGGUGUCCGCGAUCCAGCAGGCGCAGACCCAACUUCACCGCUCACUUAAAGAUGCAAUGACAUACAAUGCCUUGCCACCUGGCACCUCUCACCAUCGAGGAUGGCAGGAACGGUUGAGCCGUGUAUGUGUCAUUGUCCAUGUGUGACAGUGUUACAACCUAGCGGAGCGACUGCAGGCCUGCACUGCAUCCUACCUCAAGCUGAACGGAUGUCUGCAGGCCGAGACGCCAGUGACAGCAAUGGAAGAUAGCGCUGUUGGAGGAGCUCCAGAGGAGUCGGUGCACCGAAGCUGACAUGGACGUACUUCAUUGCGGGAGCCAGGGACAUCAGUGUGGCCAGAAGCUCUCAGGUGCUCCUGCAUGUGCCCUGCAGCUAUUAGCAGCUAGAUUCCUAGGUGGAUGAAAUCGACCUAACGUACUCCGCCCAGUGACACAACACAGUAAUGUGAGCAAAGUGGCCCUUUCCUUUGCCCAGCCCCAAUCUUGGUUUGUCCAUCUUCCUCUGUUCGAGGUAAUGUGUAAAGAUAAUACCUAAUGUUGUUAUUUCUCUUUACCAUACUUUAGAGAUUGGUAAUUGAAAAGGGAUAAAAUGAUAUAUCAAAUCAGAUACGAUAUCCUUAGAAGUAAUGCUAAAUUUAAUAAUGUCCUCAAUCAAAAUACUAUGCAUUGGACAUACACGCUGAAGGAACAAAUGGUUGAUAUCGCCGGCAUAGCUUUUUAUAAGAGGCUAUAUGAAAAUUUGUAUUGCUGCAUAUGAUUCUUACAAACUGUAACACUGUGAUUGUGCAUUGGUGGAUAGAAAAAUCGUAUUUGUUGUUGCAUGAA